CCUACGGGUGGCUGCAGUGGGGAAUAUUGGACAAUGGGCGAAAGCCUGAUCCAGCCAUGCCGCGUGUGUGAAGAAGGCCUUCGGGUUGUAAAGCACUUUCAGUGGGGAAGAAAGCCUUGGGGCUAAUACCCUCGAGGAAGGACUUCACCCACAGAAGAAGCACCGGCUAACUCCGUGCCAGCAGCCGCGGUAAUACGGAGGGUGCGAGCGUUAAUCGGAAUUACUGGGCGUAAAGCGCGCGUAGGCGGUCUGAUAAGCCGGUUGUGAAAGCCCCGGGCUCAACCUGGGAACGGCAUCCGGAACUGUCAGGCUAGAGUGCAGGAGAGGAAGGUAGAAUUCCCGGUGUAGCGGUGAAAUGCGUAGAGAUCGGGAGGAAUACCAGUGGCGAAGGCGGCCUUCUGGACUGACACUGACGCUGAGGUGCGAAAGCGUGGGUAGCAAACAGGAUUAGAUACCCGGGUAGUC
rnacentral:rRNA from 1 species